CCUACGGGGGGCAGCAGUAGGGAAUAUUGCUCAAUGGGGGAAACCCUGAAGCAGCAACGCCGCGUGGAGGAUGAAGGUUUUCGGAUUGUAAACUCCUUUUGUUAGAGAAGAUAAUGACGGUAUCUAACGAAUAAGCACCGGCUAACUCCGUGCCAGCAGCCGCGGUAAUACGGAGGGUGCAAGCGUUACUCGGAAUCACUGGGCGUAAAGGGCGCGUAGGCGGGAUAGCAAGUCAGAUGUUAAAUCCUAUGGCUUAACCAUAGAACUGCAUUUGAAACUGUUAUUCUAGAGUAUGGGAGAGGUAGGUGGAAUUCUUGGUGUAGGGGUAAAAUCCGUAGAGAUCAAGAGGAAUACUCAUUGCGAAGGCGACCUGCUAGAACAUAACUGACGCUGAUGCGCGAAAGCGUGGGGAGCAAACAGGAUUAGAUACCCGAGUAGUC
rnacentral:rRNA from 1 species